AUUGAACGCUGGCGGCAUGCUUUACACAUGCAAGUCGAACGGUAACAGGCCGCAAGGUGCUGACGAGUGGCGAACGGGUGAGUAAUGCAUCGGAACGUGCCCAGUCGUGGGGGAUAACGCAGCGAAAGCUGUGCUAAUACCGCAUACGAUCUAUGGAUGAAAGCGGGGGACCGUAAGGCCUCGCGCGAUUGGAGCGGCCGAUGUCAGAUUAGCUAGUUGGUGGGGUAAAGGCCCACCAAGGCGACGAUCUGUAGCUGGUCUGAGAGGACGACCAGCCACACUGGGACUGAGACACGGCCCAGACUCCUACGGGAGGCAGCAGUGGGGAAUUUUGGACAAUGGGCGCAAGCCUGAUCCAGCAAUGCCGCGUGCAGGAAGAAGGCCUUCGGGUUGUAAACUGCUUUUGUACGGAACGAAACGGUCUGGGUUAAUACCUCGGGCUAAUGACGGUACCGUAAGAAUAAGCACCGGCUAACUACGUGCCAGCAGCCGCGGUAA
rnacentral:rRNA from 1 species